UUGGACCCAAAUAUACUAUUUGGGCUUGGGCCCAAUAAUGGGCUAAACUCAUGAAAGUAGACUGGACUCAACAAUCUCCCCCUCCAACCUAUUAGAAGGUAAUUCGAUGUCUUCAAAUUGUCUAUCUUGACAACUUCUGGUCCAGCUCCCCUAUAAGAUUUGCAAGGCAACAUUUGAGAGACCUUGCCCUCAUCAACGUGCUACUUCACUUCCCACUGAAGUUAUGCAUCUCUACACCGAAGUGCCCACACCUUUUCAUCGAGGUGCCCUGCACCCCCACAGGGGUGCAUCGCAAAGUACAUCACUUUACUAGCUAUCGUGACUCCAUCUCUCUUCCUUUGUGCACACAACUGGAGAAAUCACCGCCACUAAUCAAAUCGAGAGAGAAAAAUACUCGUUUUAGUGGCAGCGCAUCCUUCGCUGUACACCUUUUCAAAAUCGACUUUGUUUCCUUCCUCUGAGUUUCUAAUUGGACAUCCUGCACUAGUUGUGCCACUUAUGUCUGGCCAGACUUUCGCACAUAUCUCAAAGUAUUUUCUUGCUCUCUUAUACCACUUCAGAUCAUUCAGGUACCCUUACAAUUGCUUUGCAUGCCUUUGUGCAACUAUUUUUUUCCUUGUCUAUUUUUCUUGCUAAUACGACUAGACCCAUGUCUGAUAGUAGCUCCCAUUAUUUGAACAUUACCCUUCAGUCGGAAUAGCCCUCUAGUCUUCUUUUUCUGUAGCAUUGUUUCUCUUGGAACUCUCAAAAUUCCUCCACUAACUCCAAAACUGCAACCUUUCGAAUCUAACAUCCCAAUGAAAAUUACAUUUUUUCAUAGACUAAGAAUAUGCCUUACCUCAAUCAAUUUCAGAGACCUCCCAUCUACUAUGCAUAACUGAACUAUUCCUUUGCCAACAACUUUGUUUGCUGUGUUAUUCGCCAUCCGUACAAGUACCUUGCAUGCUGCAUAUAUAAAGAAUAUCUCUAUGUCCCUGCACAAGUGGUAAUCAUUUCUUGAAUCCAAUAUUCAAUCUGACUUCCCAUCUGCCAAUAUUACUAAGAAAACAUCACUGUCUGAAUCUGUCAUCAUUGAUACUGAUGUUAUAUUUGAAGAUUAAUUAUGUGCUUUAUAUUUUGAGUAAUUUCUCUUGGUCACCUCUCGACUGUGACCUUGGUCGUCCUCUACUGGUACCCUUUUGAUGACCUUUUCCCUAACCAUGACCUCUUUACCUACUUUUCUCUAAGACUAGGGGCUGUGACUCACUUCUAUCUGUCAUGCCCAUCUCUCUUUUCUAUGCCUCUUCAUUGAAUAUGCCAUCCUUGACCAUACCUAUAGUUAACUUUUCAUUCGGCGCUAAAUUACUGAGAGAAACUAUCAAUAUCUUCCAACUUUUUGGCAAGGAACUCAAAAGUAGUAGGGUCUGCAUCUCAUUUUCAAAUUGUAUGUCAAUACUAGCCUAUUGAUUGAUUAAAUUCUGAAACUCACUUGUAUGUUCUGCCACUGUAGUUCCUCUCUAAAGUUUCAAAUUCACAAGCCUUAUCAUUAAUAAGACUUUGUUUCGAGAUGUUUUCGCUUGAUACGUCUUCUCUAAUUUGAUCCAAAACUAGCAAGAAACUCAAAAGUAGUAGGGUCUGUAUCUCAUCUUCAAACUGUAGGUCAACACUAGACAACUGAUUGACUAAAUUCUGAAACUCACUUGUAUGUUCCGCUACUGUAGUCCUUAUCUAAAGUUUCAAACUUACAAGCCUUAUCAUCAAUAAGACUUUGUUCUGAGACGUUUUCGCUUGAUACAUCUCCUCCAAUUUGAUCCAUAACUCAUAAGCACCCAUCUCUUGUGCUACAUGAUGCAUUGUCUAAUCAGUUCAAUCGUCGAUUCAUCUUCUUCCAUUCUUCAUUUUUCGUCGCUACAAGUUGUCUCCCUUAUUCUCCAAAUCCUUGCAAAAUAGGAUAUCAUCCCUUCUUAGUUUCCACAAUACAUAAUUCGUGGCUAAAAGCAUAAUCAUAGCCACUAAAUUAUUGUCUAACAUCUUACUUUUCCCAAAUAAAAACAAAAGAUCCAAAAACCCAUCUUGCAGAUAAAUCCGAAAUGUUGAAAAACCUCAUAUAUGUCUAAACUGUCAAAAUCAAAAAGUUAUGGGACCAAAUUAUAAAUAUCCAAAAUUUUAAGGACUAAAUUAUAAUUUUUAAAAACUUUAGAGACUAAUCUAUAAUUAUUAUAAACUCUAGGAACCAAUCUAUAAUUUUUAGUAAUUCUAGGGGUCAAAAUAUAAUUUUUGGAAAGUACAAUGACCAAACUAUAAAUUUUCGAACUUCAGAGACUUAAGUAUAAAGUUUUUAAAACAUCAGGGAAUGAGUAAUUUACCGUCCUUAGUGGCGCAUUCAAUGGCUUAGCUCGGUGCACGUUGCUCGGCUUGGUGGAGCAUGGGCACGAGCAUAAGGUGCGUGCAGGUGCGUUCAACAUUCGUUUUCGACGCGUUUUGAUGUUGGAGUUUUGUCUCGAAGAGAAGAACACCGUGG
rnacentral:lncRNA from 1 species